rnacentral:misc_RNA from 1 species
AUAAUUGCUAUAAAAGUGAACCUCGCUUUCUAUAUCGAUUUUUCAAACAUUAACUAGCCACGAAAGGUAUAAAUAUCGAGUAAGUUCGAUAAUGGCAUGCCAUUCGAGCCAAGACGAUAUCAAAGCCAUGACAAGUGAGGAACUUGCAAACGGCUUUCGUCAUUCUCCUUAAGCUCUUAAUGUGUCGUAAUUCACCUUUGCAAGGGAUAUACCCCUUAUACUUCUGUGCCAGUAUUAAAUAGAUGUAUAGGGUUUACGAGAAGUGGGCGAUAAUCUCAUGCUUGUGGUUGAAUACCAGAUUGUGGCAGCUCUGGUCACAAGGGUAGGCGCAAUCCAAUGCCUUCAUUCUAGAGCGAUCGAAAUACCAAUCGCCAACAGCAACGGCUAUUUUCUUAUUGCCCAGAACAGGAGAAUCAUAUUCAUACCAUGUGUCCUGCCUCUCCGAUUGACAAUGUGCAAAACAAGAAUUUAUAAAUAGACCGUUUUUACUGGACAUGGAAAAACCCCUUACGGCAUUAAGCAUUUGUUUCCUAAACCCUUGUAAAAACCGGAUUUGCCCUGAAUUACAGUUUGCAUGAUUUAGCUUGCAUGCUUGCCAUUUGCCACGAGGAUCGGCGUCUUUGGUAGCUAAACUUGCAUCCAGCUGCCAGACAUCAUAUGCUGUAUUUAAAAUGAAAAGUGGAGUCCUAAUGUUGUUCACGAGAUUUUGCGGAAAAAAGCACGAAGUUGCAUCCAUGUGCGUGGUACAACUCCUGGGCAAGUUCCUCCCGGACCCCUGUAAGCUAACUACACCAUCAAAAAAGGAUCUUAGAGUGCGUCUACCAGCUACAUCCACAACAUCAAGGAACAUGCCAGCAUCAGCAAAGCAUUUGACUUUUGUACUCCUUGGAAAGAAUGACUGGAAUUCAUCGCAAUGUAUUAUGGAAGCGAGACCCCCAGCAGAACACCCAGAAAGAAGGGCCUGGUUGGCGUGUUGCAUUCCCUUGAUCAUAAGAUCUUCCACGGCAGCAAGCCAAAUGCGUUGACCUCGAAAGAAAAGACCUGCGUCCUUAUUAUAUCCUUCUCCACUGAAGGAUGCCCCAUCACAAUAUCGAAUCCUUACUCUGUUCCAGUUAAAAAAGUCAGGGUUUUCUUCCUGCUUAUUGCUCAGUAUUCCAGUAAAUGGUAGCAAUUUCUCCAUGUAAUUCGAUGAACCGCGACGAGUUGUCUUUCGGUACACACAUGACCGGAUAUUAUUGCACCAGCCUCCCCCCUCUAGUUCUACAAGCCAACUGUUUGCUCCUGAUCCGUAUCCUCGAUGAAGAUGAUAACCGGGUAGAGUUCCAUCCAAGCAUACAGCUCCUUUUGCAGCUGCUGAUUGAAUGAGGGUCAGACCGACAAGCAGUGGGUUGCCCACAGCCCCAUCACUCACAUUGGCAUUAUGCUCCACAAACCCUUUAGCCAGUCCAACAAGACCAAGAAGGCCAAGAACAAACAAGGCCUUCAUUGGUUGUAUGAGGAUUGGAGGAGGGAAUGAGAGGAGGGAAAGGUUUGGAAGAGAGCAAAAGAGGGGGAACAAGAGAUAGGUCCACUAGAUGGGAUCUUAAUGAAGACUGGCUGGACCCUUGUUCUAGACUGGUAAAUAUUUUUCUAUUAUGGGGAGGCCUGAG